rnacentral:rRNA from 1 species
CAGUAGGGAAUCUUCCACAAUGGGCGAAAGCCUGAUGGAGCAACGCCGCGUGUGUGAUGAAGGCUUUCGGGUCGUAAAGCACUGUUGUAUGGGAAGAACAGCUAGAAUAGGAAAUGAUUUUAGUUUGACGGUACCAUACCAGAAAGGGACGGCUAAAUACGUGCCA